UACGGGAGGCAGCAGUGGGGAAUAUUGCACAAUGGGCGCAAGCCUGAUGCAGCCAUGCCGCGUGUAUGAAAAAGGCCUUCGGGUUGUAAAGUACUUUCAGUCGUGAGGAGGUGUUAAGGUUAAUAACCUUAGCAAUUGACGUUAGCGACAGAAGAAGCACCGGCUAACUCCGUGCCAGCAGCCGCGGUAAUACGGAGGGUGCGAGCGUUAAUCGGAAUUACUGGGCGUAAAGGGCACGCAGGCGGUUAAUUAAGUUGGAUGUGAAAUCCCCGGGCUUAACCUGGGAAUGGCAUUCAAGACUGGUUAGCUAGAGUCUUGUAGAGGGGGUAGAAUUCCAUGUGUAGCGGUGAAAUGCGUAGAGAUGUGGAGGAAUACCGGUGGCGAAGGCGGCCCCUGGACAAAGGACUGACGCUCGAUGUGCGAAAGCGUGGGGAGCAAACAGGGAUUAGAUACC
rnacentral:rRNA from 1 species